rnacentral:lncRNA from 1 species
UCAGGCACAGUAUUUUCCCAGCUUCCACGAUACAGAUUUCAUUUGAGGCAAGAAGAGCAGAGAUUCUUGAGUAUCAGUAUGGUAUAUUCACAAUUAUCACACCAUGAAUAAAUGGUGACAUAGAUCUCAGUGUAUGUGCUCUAUUAAUGUAUGUAUAUGAGUACCAAGGAGGCCUGAGACAUAGAACCACUUUGUCAGCAGUGGAAGACCAACACUUCAUCUCCCCCUCCCACAAAUCACUGCAGCUUUUGUUUGCUGUAUUUUGUUCCCUCUUCCAUCACCAGGUUGAAGAAAAGUCUGAAAACAUCACCACACCUUCAUCAAAAAUUUUAGAUGCCUCUACUAAGUCAAAAGAACAUGGAAAACACAAGACAUUGCACAUUAUUUAUGCUUCAGUACCCGUGGGUCUAUGUUGUCCAUUCAUCUUCAUAUGCGUGUUUUGGAGUCUAAGGAGGUACUAUGGUGAGCAGUUUUAUAAUAUAAUAUUCCCUUACUGUGUAUAUGAUUCCAUAGUUAUAGUUUCAUUCAAGGCUUAAUGAAAACCCAAUUAAUUGUCCUUGUCAAGUGUGCAGGUUAAAAUAAUGAAUCUUCAAAAAGUUUAAUUUAUUCCAUGUUUUGUUCCCUUCCAGAGAGACAAGUGUGAAAGUAAAGAGCAAGUAAAAUAUACAGAUUUUAUAAUAGUUGGAAUUUUUUCUCCUGGCUUUUUGAGCAAUCAAGUUACAAAUGAGUAAGACUUUUAGCCACAUCAAUGCCAUCAAAUUCUAUUCAGUUGCAUUUUAUAUUCCCACUUGUCCCUCUGAGCUAUCAAACAGUUGCAGUAUUAAUCUCUCCCGUUUUACAGGAACUCUUACUCAGCUUCCAUGCUCGAAGUCAAUAGGGAAUCCUGGAGUCCCCCACAUCUCAUUAAGUGAAGCAAUCAAUUAUUUGUUUUCUCAUGGGAUGGCUUAAGGAUGUUUCCAUACUUUUUCUUUCCAUUUCACUGCAUAGAAAGACAACUAACCCCAAGUACAGCAGGAAUUUAUCUGUUCCUACUCAGAGAAGCUCUGAGGAACACAGAAACACAUUCUAUAAGAAAUCAUUUUAUGCUGACUACCUUUUGGCAGUGAAACAAUCCCUAAAUAUAGUUUGGAGACAGAUUUUUAUUCUUUGGGGAGUACUCAAUAAAGCAAGGGCUGCUUUGGUAAUCUAUACGCCUCUGUGAGCAGAAAGGCAUCUUCUCAAUGCUGAUUGAUUGAAACAUCCCUUUUUUUUUCUUCUUCCUAGGAAAGCGUAAGAGAACUCCAUCAGCACCACAGAGACAAGAGAGCCGGGUAUGCUUAAAUUCUGCCACCACUGAAACCUGAUAAUGUCCAGUAGAACCACGUAGUGAAAAUAAAUUUUUGCAUAGUUUAAAAUGUGGAGUAGGAUUGGAGACAGGUUUAAUUGUGCUGCCUGGAAAGAAUGGCUUCCCUGGCAUGAGGUAUCACCUUGCCUGAGCUGAAGGGAAAGAACUCAGCAUUUUUGCCACAAAGGUACUUUAAGCAUCUAAACUCCUUUUAAAAUGCAUUAAUUUGUAAAACCAUUCCAGCAGGAGUUUAGGCACCUGAAGCACCUCUGUUGACCUAGUUCUGACUGUACAGGACAAAAAGUCACCCACAGGGUCAGUACAAUGAUUGAGAAGAAUGCUUUGCUAUGUGGCUGGCACGAAUUCACACAAUUCUUGCAAUUGGUUCCAAAGAAAUUAGAUGAGCAGAAGGCAGAAUGCAAAAGAUGUGACAGGAGCUGGCAGCUGUCACUCACAAGAAAAGCUGUGGUAAGGAUCAAAGGGCACCAAAUGGACUGCAGUGCUCCUGAAAGACAAGGUGGGGGAAAGAAAACUGAAAGCAGUGAGUUCUAAGUGGCUGGAAAAAAAUGGAUGCCAAAAGAGGAUUUCUUUAGAGAGAGAUGGAUUUGCAGAUUUGGGAGAAGAAGAGAGAUUUAUUUGGAGAAUAAUUUUUUAAAAAGAAAAAAAAAAAACGGUAAUGGGUCAGAGAUCUGGAAAUAGGAGAAUAAGGGCAGUCAGAAAGAUACCUUGGGGUUUGGAGGUGAAAAUGAGGAUUUAAUAGGCUUGGAAAGAAGAGCGUGAAUGAGUGGCAUGGAAGAGCUCUCAAGAGGAUAAAUCAGUUUUGCCUUAAGUUGAAAUCGUGCAAGGAAAGACAUGACUGAGUUUGGGAAGGGAAGUGGAGAAAGACUAGAGACACGAGUAUGAUUUCUAGCUUAUUUCAGAUAUCAAAAGAAAAUCCAGUGAUCAGGUGAGUCCAAUGUACCCAUCUUCAAAAGCAGUUUUAAAGGGAUACAGCAAGGCCAACAGACUCCUACCCACAUCUUAUCUAUCUAGCAGGAGCACAGGCAAUAGCCAGUUGUGCACAGAGCUGUACCCUGUUCUGUCUUUUGCAGGUCAGAAGGCUAUCAGCUCUUCCAUCCCACGCUGAUGGGACAACUCCAGAUACAGAUGAAAGCUCCUCACUUUACUGUUCCAUGUCUAGCCCACCUCAGCUCUUGCCUGUCAACAAGAUUUAUGACAGUGUUCCUCAACGUAAUGCUCAGGAGACAGCAUCUAACUCACCUUCUAAUGAUCCUUCCAUCCCAGCUUCACUUGAAAGCCAAGAUGUCCUCAUAUAUGCCUCACUAAACCAUUCUGCUUCUACAAAUAAAUACCAGAGAAGGAAGUUCUCUAUAGAAAAUGAAUUUAUAGAAUAUGCCUCUAUUAAGGUAAAUAAAUAAAUACGGCAGACUUCACCAAACAGCCAUUUUGUGUGUAUUCUCAGGUUUAUCUUCCAUCCAGAAUACCUUUCCUUUCUCUCCCGGGAAAGCUUUCCUUUUGUUUAGAAGAACCUGUGGAUGCUCCCCCACUACAGACAGGAAUUCAAAACACAGCCUGUGUCAUGCAGAUGGGUGGGUAAUUGCACUGGAUAUUCGUCUCUUAAAUGGAGGAAUAAAAGGAAACACAGACAGCUUUCCUGUUCUUCCUCUGCCCAGGAUUCUGCUUCCAGUCUGACCUUUUGUUGUGGUUUAAACAGAGGCAAAGGGGAGGAGAAGGGAGGGCAUUCUCAGGUCAUAAACAUAUAAAAGGAAUCCAUGAGGAAGACGAUACUGAGCCAAAUUAAUUCCUCCAAAGUAUAAAUAUGCUAAAUAUAAACAUACUAAAUAUGCCCGGGGGAGAAAUUUUCUCUGAGGUUCUAAGAACACCCGUACCAGGAUUCCGUUUCUCAUUCCAGUUCAUCUCCUUGCAGAGUUCCUUGAACACCAUGAACGCACAAUCCUCGUAUUAACUAAAAUUAUGUAAAUACUUUCAUUUGUUUGCUUCUUGUGGGGAACAGGCAAGAAAAUGGAAAAGGUUGUUUUCCUUUUAUUAAGAAGUCACACAAAUAACGUGUGAGAGUGUUCUCUUUUUUCCUCCUGGUGUGAUGACCGGUUAGCUAAGUUAAUGCAUAUUCCUUUUGUCCAUGAUGAGUCCAUGGAAAUAACAAAUGCUGAGCAGUGACUGAUCACAGACUGAAUAAAAACAUUCUGUUCAUGAGUAGCUGUGCACAACUGCGCCAGGCCAAGCUUUCCUCCCAACACUAGCACAAGAACAUGAUUAUGCUUCGUGCUCAGGUUUGUGGAAAAGAAGAUAAAAAGGAGGUAAGGACCAAAGUGUCAUUUGAACUUUGAGGAGAAUGCCUGUGCCCUUCUUCUGCUGCACUUAUUUCAUUAUAGUUUGGAUACUAUGCAUCUGCUCCUGCAGCGCAGUUGUCUGAAAAAUUACAUUUAGCAAUGUCUGCACCAAGAGGUUUGCAGAAGCAGAGAGUCUUCAACAUGGUUAAAAAUUCAGACUACAGUUGAAAAGGAAGAGUGGAAGUCCAGUUCUCAGCGUGCACAUAACGCACCAGAUGAUGUGCAGUUAAUGGAAGGAAGUCAAGCUUCUUCAUCUCUCACCCUUGCACAGUUCCAGUUAACACCAAAUUUUUUAUCAGAUACACAUUAACCCUGUCACGUUGAUAAAACAGAUCAUUUGUUAUGCUUGUGGCACAUCUAUCUUCCACCCAUCGUGCACUCUACCAUGGACUCUGCCCCAGAACAAUGCCCAUGUGAUUGACAGCCAAAGGAGGCCAAGCACAGCUGUGAGAAGUACUGCACAGCCACCAGCUGCAAUGCUAGAGAAAUCUGAACAUGCUGUGUUCCACUCUCAGAUCAAGGCCGAACCAUGGCUUAAGAAGGGGUCCCCAGAGAUCAAGGUUUGGUUUGGAAGAUGAGAUUUCUGUAGGUAAACAGGAAGCACCUUGCCACCUCACCAUCAGAUGUGCCAGCACAGAAAAGCAAAGCACUGGAGCUUACAGUUGGUUCUUUUUUUCUUUUUCUUUUUUUUCUUUUUUUCCUUUUCUUUCUUUUUUUUUUUCUUUUUUUUUCUUUUUAAAUCAAAACCACUGAAAGUCUAUGUCUUUUGAAGGAGGGAAACAAAAGGUGCUGACUGAAACUGCCAUUUAAGGUGCAACACCUGCCACUUAAGUUACAAAUAAUCCAAUCAGGUCAAGUGCAGCACCAGUUUUUGUAGUCUUCUGAAAGAAACAGAAGAGUUUUUAUUUCUGCCAGUGCAGUUAAACUGCUCAGUGGAUAGAAGGUCUGUGUACCACAGCUAGUGGGCGUGGUGGCAAUGGGUUGACAGUUGGACAAGAUGAUCUUAGCGGUCUUUUCCAACCUUAAUGAUUCUGUGAUUGAGUAAUUUCAAUUAAGGACUUGCACAUUCAUCCAAUCACCCAGUGCCAUGCUCAGUGAUGUUACACAAGACAUCACACCUAACAGCAGUUGUGUUAAGGCCCAGUAGAUGGCCUUUGUACGCUGCAGAAAACAAAACAAGCUGGGACCUGCUUUGUGGGGGACAAAGCCUGUGCACCUUCUGUAAGACAUGGUCUGAUGACCUCCAGCUUUUACCAGGUGAUUUACUACUUCUUGAUUCUCUUUUGCUAUUUUUGUACUGAAUAUGUUGCACGUACAGUCAUAUACAGGAAGCCCAAAGAAUACAAAGCUGGGCGGCUGUCAGUUAGACACACCCAUCCACAGGGAAGGAAGAGAGUAAAGUCUGUGGAGCUGAAGGUCUGUUAAUGCACAUUACUAUGCUGCAUCACAAUCCAGCAGCAUUCUUUCUGUAUGGGAGGCAGAUGCAGCUGUGCUACCCAGUUCCUCCCUCCCAAAGUAACCUUAUGUGCACAGCACAUAAGCCUCUUACAAGCCUCAGUGGAAGGUGUGGGCUCUUAGGCCGUAAACACAUGAACUCUCCCAGUUUCACUUUCUUUGUUUAUACCCUCCACCUCUGAAUUUUGUUUGCUCAUAAAGCAAAAAUAAAGGUAAUCAUGUGAGGCUUACUCAUUUGCCAGCUCUUGGUCCCAAAAGUCUAUCAGAUGAGACUGCUCUUGGCAAAUGACACACUUUGCUAUAUUGCCAGAUCGAACAACAGUUUGCCAAGCCUUGAUUCUCCAAUUAUCUGUUUUUGUAAUAUUUUCACCAACAUCACCGCAAAUAUCCCGAGGCACAUUUUGCAUCAUAAAGUAAGCAGGCAGUGAGGUGAGUGCAGAAAGAAGAGUGACAGCUAUAGUUAUGUGAGAACUGAAGUCUGCACCUCUGUGAAAAAGGCAUUGCCUUGCAUCGCUUGGUUUCCUGCUGUUUGCCCCCUAUAAGAGUGUGCAGGCUGGAUGUGGCUCUGGGCAGCCUGGUCUGGCGGUUGGUGACCCCACCCAUGGCAGGGGGGUUGAAACUAGAUGAUCAUUAUGGUCCUUUUCAAUCCAGGCCACUCCAUGAUUCUAUGAUUCUACAAAAUGGUAAGAGUCUGCCCAAAACCCAAAGAAAUAUGGUGUACGUGGUGUUUGUUCCUUG